GUCAAGUCGGCUGCCUCGGCUUGGGAAGGGGGAUGGCGUCCACUCCGAUGGGGAAUGAGGGGGAGAAGAAGAGCAGCUGGCCAUCUCAAGCUGCACCCUCCUUGAGAGGAGGUCCGGCUUCGUUAUCUCGUUCUGAGGAAUACCUGUCCCAGAUCAGUGCAGAACUCAUGGAGGAGGCUUUGUGCACUGCUUGCUGCCACUUGAACCCUGUGCCCAUCAAAAAAAAGCAGUCACAAGACCAAGCGACUCAGAUAUCCAAACGCGCAUUCUUCACCAAGACCUGAGGCACAGACACCUGCCCUCUCCCCUCUCUUCCACCAUCUCCUGCUCGGACAGAAACCGUACCUGCAGCAAGGCAUACCUCCUGCCAACUCCUGGUGAAAAGAACAUGCCUCAAAACUACUCUUUUGCCACUCGUUAACCACUUCCGUUUGUGGGGACCUCCUGGUCAUGAGCAGCAUCAUCCCGAAGCCUUCAAAGUGUUCUGGAUUCAUCACAGGACCCUCCAGCCUCAGCCAGCAAGGAUACCACCAGGAAUGAAAGUGCUUUAAUAAAGAGACAGGGUGUGCAU
rnacentral:lncRNA from 1 species